UAAUUAUCUAUCAUUGGGGAUUAAGCUAUGUUUACAACAUCACAAGUAUUUACAAACCACAUUAUGGCGCCCAGAUGAGUGCAUGCAAUACCCAUACUACCAUAAAUUGUUUUCUUUUUCGUGAUAUGAAUUCCAUCACAUAUUUUGAUGUUGUUCCAUUGAUGAUGCAAUCACUUAACAGAUGCUAAGGAUGUCUCCACUUCGGGGAGAGAAGAUAGUCGGAUUACACUCUCCGUGCCUCUUUCAAGGUUCAUUUGAUGCCGACUCUAAACCAUUAGAGGAUUCUGUGAAACCAGCACAAAGGCCGCAUAGCCUAAACAAGACUGUCAGCCCAUAUACAGACGAUACAACUUUGAAUCAUCAUCAUCAACAACAUCACAAGCAGGAGCUGACGCAACAGAACAACACAAAAGGGAAACUGUUUCAUCAGAAGAACAUCGCUCUUAUACACAAACUACCAAAAACUAGAGAUUUGCUGCAGAUGAGUUCGCAUUCACUGUAACAAAUUGCUGUAAAUUUACAGCAAAACAUUUAGUUAGCUAUGGUAAUUCUAUAUUACAGUACAGUACUUUAAAGAUCAAUGCAUUAUGAGGGCUCAAUGGCAUUCCACUACACUACUGUACAAUUGCUGUAAUUUUACAGCAGCGCCAUGGUAAAAUGUUGUGGGCGGAGAAAUAAUUUGUCUCAUUAACAUAUUUGGAGUCGUGCCUUGUAAGAGGCUAUAUUGGUUGCACCCAUUAGUGAGAAUGCUGUACCCUACAGAAUACAGUACCAUACCAUAUUUGUUUGUAUAUUUAUCCUGUAAAUCUACAGUAAUUUACUGGCUACUGUGUUGCCAGAAAUUUACUGUAAUUCAGUACCAUACUGUAUUUUUAAACUGUAAAAACUUUUUCCUGAAAAUCUACAGUAAUAUCCUGGCUACUGUGCCCUCAGUAAUUUACUGUAAUUCAGUACCACCGCCACAGAAUACUGUACCAUAUUGUAUUUUUGGAGCACCAAAAACCUUUUGUGAGUGCAUGGUAUUGUUGUGGCUCAUUAACACAUUUUGAGGCGUGCCUUGUAAGAGGCUGUACUUGUUGCGCCCAUUAGUAAGAGUGCUGCACCAAUUGAAGUGAUAUGUGGUAAUAGUUCCCUAACACCUACAGUACAUGUAUAUAGGGGACAGAUCAUAGUGGCAGUAAGCUUUUGAUCUGUUUUGCCCUGGGGUGUAGCACAGUGCCGUCGUUGACGGCAGCCACCCUCCCUUCCCUCCCUUUAGUAAGGGGAAUUUUUCUUUUUGGUGUUGCUUGGGGUUAUUUUUUGUUAAGGUGCUUCCGGGGUUAGCACCUUUAAGGGGGGGGGGGGUACUGUCACGUCCUGGCCAGUAUAAGGUUAAUUGGUAUUGUAGUUUGGUCAGGACGUGGCAGAGGGUAUUCGUUUUAUGUGGUUCGGGGUGGUGUGUUUUGUUGAAGGGGCAUUUGGUUUAAGUAUUCUGGGGGUUUUGGGCACUGUUUGGUUUUCAGGUAUUCUAUGUUUAGUCUAGUAUGUCUGUUUCUAUGUUUGGUUAAUUGGGGUUGGGACUCUCAGUUGAAGGCAGGUGUUGUCUAUCUGCCUUUGAUUGAGAGUCCCAUAUAUGAGGGUGUGUUUGUGUUUGUUAUUUGUGGGUGAUUGUUCUGUGUUAGCCUUGUGCCUUGCAGACUGUCAGUCGAUCGUUAUUUCUGUUUGUUAUUUUGGUGUUCAUUUUGUAUUCAUUAAAACGUCGAGAUGAGCAUUCACAUACCUGCUGCGUUUUGGUCCUCUUUAACCGACGACAAGCGUGACACCCCGGCCAAACCUAGACGACGCUGGGCCAAUUGUGCGCCGCCCUAUGACACUCCCAGUCACGGCCGGAUGUGAUACAGCCUGGAUUUGAACCAGGGAUUAUAGCGACGCCUCUUGCACUGAGAUGCAGUGCCUUAGACCGCUGUGCCACCCAAAAAGCCCAAAAUUAGUAGACUACUCAUUGUGAACGGUACAUACUGUAUUUAUUGGAACAUAAAGCAACUGAAGUACUGGAAAUGCACUUUAGCCAUACAGGCAUUUACUGAUGAUACAAGUCAAGUGCUGUGUCCAGCAUCAUUUGUAUGGCAUUGAAAUAAAUCUGUAUCUUUAUGUUAAAGAUCACUGGUGCUUUUCCCUUGCAUGAAAAGAGGAUUGUUCUUAAUACCACUGGGGAUUGAGUGUGCCAAGUAUCCUUGUGGUUUUCCAUAUUAACACUAUGUAAGAAUUAACCAAGGUGUAAAUAAUGUAAACAUGAUUACAUAAUUUGAUUAGCAAAUUAUGUUGUCUAAAAUAACACAAUAUAUUUGUAGCACACAAUCUGUUUGCCAUCAUAAUGGACUUUGCUUAGAUGCAUAUUGAUUCAUUUUAUACUAUAAGCCAUCAUAACUAACAAACAACAUUAUAAUUGUUUGUUUAUACACCUUAUAUCAUUUCACAUACUAUAUACAGUGCCUUCAGAUAGUAUUCUUAACUCUUGACUUAUUCCACAUGUUGUUGUGUUACAGCCUGAAUUCAAAAUGGAUUCAAUUUAUUUUUUUUGUCAUCCAUCUACACACAAUACCCUAUAAUGACAAAGUGAAAACAUGUUUUUAGAACAUUUUGCACAUUUAUACAGAAAUGUCUAUUUACAUAAGUUUUCACACGCUUGAGUCAAUACAUGUUAGAAUCAUAUAGUGCAUUCGGAAAGUAUUCAGACCCCUGGACUUUUUCCACAUUUUGUUACGUUACAGACAAUUGAUUAAAUAGUCCCCCCCCCCCCCCCCAUCAAACUACUACAAUACUCCAAUAAGAUAAAGCAAGAAUUUUUUGCAAAUGUACUAAAAAUAAAAACCGGAAAUAUAACAUUUACAUAAGUAUUCAGACCCUUCACUCAGUACUUUGUUGAAGCCCCUUUGGCAGCGAUUACAGCAUCGAGUCUUCUUGGGUAUGACGCUACCAGCUUGGCACAACUGUAUUUAGGGAGUUUCUCCCAUUCUUCUCUGCAGAUCCUCUUAAGCUAUGUCAGGUAGGAUGGGAAGCUUUGCUGCACAGCUAUUUUCAGGUCUCUCCAGAGAUGUUUGAUCGGGUUCAAGUCCGGGCUCUGGCUGGGCCACUCAAGGACAUUUAGAGACUUGUCACAAAGCCACUCCUGUCUUGUCUUGGCUGUGUGCUUAGGGUCAUUGUCCUGUUGGAAGGUGAACCUUCGUCUCAGUCUGAGGUCCUGAGCACUCUGGAGCAGGUUUUUAUCAAGGAUCUCUCUGUACAUUGCUUUGUUCAUCUUUGCCUCGAUCCUGACUAGCCUCCCAGUCCCUACUGCUGAAAAACAUCCCCACAGCAUGAUGCUGCUACCACCAUGCUUCACCAUAGGGAUGGUGGAGGUUUCCUCCAGAUAUGACGCUUGGCAUUUGAGCCAAAGAGUUCAACCUUGGUUUCAUCAGACCAGAGAAUCUUGUUUCUCAUGGUUUGAGAGUCUUUAGGUGCCUUUUGGCAAACUCCAAGCGGGCUGUCAUGUGCCUUUUACUGAGGAGUGGCUUCCGUCUGGCCACUCUAUCAUAAAGGCCUGAUUGAUGGAGUGCUGCAGAGAUGGUUGUCCUUCUGGAAGGCUCUCCCAUCUCCACAAAGGAACUCUGGAGCUCUCUCAGAGUGAUCAUCAGGUUCUUGGUCACCUCCCUGACCAAAGCCCUUCACCUCAGAUUGCUCAGUUUGGCAAGGCGGCAAGUUCUAGGAAGAGACUUGGUGGUUCCAAUGUCACGCCCUGACCUGAGAGAGAUGUUUUUCUCUGGUUAGUUAGGUCAGGGUGUGAUAUGGGGUGGGCAUUCUAUGUAUUGUAUUUCUUUGUUUUAGCCGAGUAUGGUUCCUAAUCAGAGGCAGCUGUCUAUCGUUGUCUCUGAUUAGGAAUCAUACUUAGGCAGCCCUUUCCCACCUGUGUUUGUGGGUAGUUGUUUUCUGUUUAGUUUUCUGUUACCUGACAGAACUGUUGGCUUGUUUUCGUUUUGUUGUUCGAGUGUUUCAUAGUGGAAUAAAAUCAUGAGCACUUACCACGCUGCGGUUCCCUUCUCAUUACGACAGCCGUAACAUC
rnacentral:lncRNA from 8 species